CGCCUCUUGUCCCUCAUAAUAAGAGGUCCCGCCUGCCCUGUGACGAAAGUUUAACGGCCGCGGUAUUCUGACCGUGCGAAGGUAGCGUAAUCACUUGUCUUUUAAAUGGAGACCUGUAUGAAUGGCAUAACGAGGGCUAGACUGUCUCCUUUCCCCAGUCAAUGAAAUUGAUCUCCCCGUGCAGAAGCGGGGAUCCUAACAUAAGACGAGAAGACCCUAUGGAGCUUUAGACCCCACAACAAACCACGUCAAAACCCUUAAACCACUAAGACUAAACAAAGUGCCUCCCCUGCUGCGGGUCUUUGGUUGGGGCGACCGCGGAGAAACAACAAACCCCCGCAUGGUACGGGCCAUACCCUUAAAGCCAGAGCCACAGCUCUAACGAACAGAACAUCUGACCUUCAAGAUCCGGCAUUGCCGAUUAACGGACCGAGUUACCCUAGGGAUAACAGCGCAAUCCUCUUUCAGAGCCCAUAUCGACAAGAGGGUUUACGACCUCGAUGUUGGAUCAGGACCACCUAAUGGUGCAGCCGCUAUUAAGGGUUCGUUUGUUCAACGAUUAAAGUCCU
rnacentral:rRNA from 1 species